rnacentral:rRNA from 1 species
AUUGAACGCUGGCGGCAGGCCUAACACAUGCAAGUCGAACGGUAACAGGAAACAGCUUGCUGUUUCGCUGACGAGUGGCGGACGGGUGAGUAAUGUCUGGGAAACUGCCUGAUGGAGGGGGAUAACUACUGGAAACGGUAGCUAAUACCGCAUAACGUCGCAAGACCAAAGAGGGGGACCUUCGGGCCGCUUGCCAUCGGAUGUGCCCAGAUGGGAUUAGCUAGUAGGUGGGGUAACGGCUCACCUAGGCGACGAUCCCUAGCUGGUCUGAGAGGAUGACCAGCCACACUGGAACUGAGACACGGUCCAGACUCCUACGGGAGGCAGCAGUGGGGAAUAUUGCACAAUGGGCGCAAGCCUGAUGCAGCCAUGCCGCGUGUAUGAAGAAGGCCUUCGGGUUGUAAAGUACUUUCAGCGGGGAGGAAGGGAGUAAAGUUAAUACCUUUGCUCAUUGACGUUACCCGCAGAAGAAGCACCGGCUAACUCCGUG